AAGGAAGGGGUGAAGGGGGGGAGGAAGGAAGGAAGGAAGGAAGGAAGGAAGGAAGGAAGGAAGGGGAGGAAGGAAACAAGGAGAAAGAGAGAGGUAGGAUCAGUAAGGGAGUAUACAGAAGCCAUGUAGAAUGGAGAUUAGAGGGCAAGGCAACGUGAUAGAAAAACAGGAUGACACCGCCAGAGUCACCUCACGCUUUAGACAAAGUUAGAUCAAGGUCUUGCGAUUUGCUCAACAAAAAAAAAUAUCACAAUAGGGGUAACAUUGUCCGAAUCCCAACAGCCUGAUAACAUUAGCAUAUUCGUAUAGGAAGAGAGUAUCAACGUUUGAGGCGAGCAAUAAGCAGCCACUGCAGUGUAUAAAUAUUUGUUACAUUUUUUUUGGUCAUUUAGUAGAUGCUCUUAUCCAGAGCAAUCAGGGGAUUUGAACCAGCAACCUUUUGGUUAUUGGGCCAGCAAGCUUAACCACUAGGCUACCUGCCACCCUAUAGUUUAUGCUGUAAAUUAGCAUUCAGGUUUCCAGAGAAAUCCCAAAGUAGUAAAUAAUGCUCCUUCUCUCAUCCUUUAUAGCUCCCUCUCUCAUCCUUUAUAGCUCCCUCUCAUCCUUUAUAGCUCCCUCUCUCAUCCUUUAUAGCUCCCUCUCUCAUCCUUUAUAGCUCCCUCUCUCAUCCUUUAUAGCUCCCUCUCUCAUCCUUUAUAGCUCCCUCUCUCAUCCUUUAUAGCUCCCUCUCUCAUCCUUUAUAGCUCCCUCUCUCAUCCUUUAUAGCUCCCUCUCUCAUCCUUUAUAGCUCCUUCUCUCAUCCUUUAUAGCUCCCUCUCUCAUCCUUUAUAGCUCAUUCUCUCAUCCUUUAUAGCUCCCUCUCUCCUUCUUUUUCUCCUCUUAAGUCUUCCCUUUCGCCAGACAGCCCCUCCCUCUAUCUUCACAGAUGCUCGUCUGUUUGUCACGUCCGAGGUGCUGGUAUCUUUCUCUCCCUCUCUUCCUCCAGUAUUGACAGGGAGGUGCUGGUAUCUUUCUCUCCCUCUCUCCCCCCAGUAUUGACAGGGAGGUGCUGGUAUCUUUCUCUCCCUCUCUUCCUCCAGUAUUGACAGGGAGGUGCUGGUAUCUUUCUCUCCCUCUCUUCCUCCAGUAUUGACAGGGAGGUGCUGGUAUCUUUCUCUCCCUCUCUUCCUCCAGUAUUGACAGGGAGGUGCUGGUAUCUUUCUCUCCCUCUCUUCCUCCAGUAUUGACAGGGAGGUGCUGGUAUCUUUCUCUCCCUCUCUCCCUCCAGUAUUGACAGGGAGGUGCUGGUAUCUUUCUCUCCCUCUCUCCCUCCAGUAUUGACAGGGAGGUGCUGGUAUCUUUCUCUCCCUCUCUUCCUCCAGUAUUGACAGGGAGGUGCUGGUAUCUUUCUCUCCCUCUCUCCCUCCAGUAUUGACAGGGAGGUGCUGGUAUCUUUCUCUCCCUCUCUUCCUCCAGUAUUGACAGGGAGGUGCUGGUAUCUUUCUCUCCCUCUCUUCCUCCAGUAUUGACAGGGAGGUGCUGGUAUCUUACCCAUGUCAAUACCAUGCACUGUUCUGAGGCAGAUACUGUACAGUACACUAAGAGCUGUGACACAGCUUGCAUUGUAUUCUGGCUUGGCGUUGUGAACACUGUAAGUAUGAAUGGUGUCUUUC